UGGCAACCAGUUGGUCGAGAUAAAGUUUUUUAGCCUCGACUAAGUAUCCGUCGAUUUCUGUUGCUGUGUAGCUAUUUCAGAUACUGCUGGAACCAAAAAAGUAAACGGCCAUCUACUGGAUGUUGGUUAAAAAAAACUUUUGCCACCCGAUUGUAGCAAAUGUUUUUAUCACCCAUGGUCCCGGAUCCGGCAAAAAUACGGCGCACUUAUAUAAAGAUGAAGGAAAUUCAUGGCGUAAUGUCCUCAGAAGACUAUGUUGCACACCCUUCUGGCCAGAGGCUUUGUUCUCGGGUUGACGUUUAAAAGUGGCCACCGUGUUUCGGGAGAUAAAUGAAGAAAAAAGCUUAAAAUAAAAAG